CCUGAACAAAGGUAUUAGAGCUUCACCUGGGAGGCAGGGUUUCUAAAGAUGGACCACGGUGUAAUUUAAGCUUGCAGGCAACAUCUCUUUAAUGAUUAACUGGAAUACAGUGGCGCUUCCCUAUUAUAAGGCAACUUUCCCCAACUUUCAUUAAGAAAAUGCUUAAAUACUCAGAAAAGUUAAAAUAUUAUACAGUCAACACCCCAAUACUCAUUCACCUAGAUUCCACUAUUGCUCUCCUUGGUAUAUGUAUAUUUACUCCUCUUUCCAUCCAUUUUAUUAUGUUUUGAUACAUUUCAAAGUAAGCUGCAGACACUGCUACACUUCACCCUCAAAUACUUCAGCAUGCAUAUCAUUACCUAGAGUUCAGUAUUCGUUUACAACUCUUAUCAUUUUGAGACAAAAUUUACAAACAAUGACAUGUACAAGUCUUAAGCAUAUAAUUUGACAACACCUCUGUAACCAAACUCCUAUCAACUGACGAGAUGAAGAUAACUUCUAUUUACUUGUUCACUCACUGCUUUUCUUUCCUACAUAGCUGAUAUUGUAUAUUGAUAUCUAUUAUUUCCUAGGAGAUUGGAACAAAAGUUACAUGGAUUCUAGUGGACUAAAACAUUUAUGCAAUUAAUUUUUCCAAUUCUGAUGACUUUUAAGAAGCCUCUGUCACGCCUUCCAAAGGAGUUUCACUAAGUCCUUCUGCCUGCAGCCUGCUCCCUGCCCCAUGUGCCCGCUCUGGUAGGGGCUGAGCAUUGCAGACCCCAGGCCUGCAGGUUGCUGUCUGCUGGCUCUGGUUUUGCACAAAGUAUUCUCCAUACCGAGAUGGGCUGUUUAAGAGCUAGAAUAGUGACUAAAAACACUGGAAAAAGCCAACAUAAUAUCUUGGCUAAUUAUUUAACCACAUUUCUUUAGCCAUAAAAUUUUAAAUUUAUUUUUUAGUUAUUUUAUUAAAAUAAGCAUCCAGAAAACAUUUUAAAAAAAGCUUUUAAAUCCUGAGUUCAAAAAAAAAAAAAAAAAAUCCUGAGUUCAAGACUCGAUACUAAAAUAUGUACUUAAUCCUGUAUAUAAUUCUUCUAAUCUGUCAUCUCACCUUCCAGAACCCCCAUCUCAGAGACCAGCAUCUUUUCCAGGUCUGCUCUCCAGCACUCCCACAGCUAAUCCAAUACCAAGGCUUCUCAAUGUUACUUCCAAACACUAAUCAAAUCCACCUACUUCUCUCCAUGUCCAUCGCCACCACCCUCCUGAGGACACCUCCCACCAUCAGUCUCCUAACUACGCUCUUGCACCUUGAACUCCUCCCCUCUGCACUGCUCGUGCUGGCUCCACACGCAGUGCCCGCCCACCUCAAAAUUGCCUGCAGACUAAAGACCUACAGCUUUCAGGAGGCCAAAAGGCCCUUCCCGCCUCAUUCCACACCAAGCUUCCUUUAUGCCUAAACCACACUGGCCUUGCUAUCUUGAAUGCUCUUCCCCCUUGGUUUAGGGAACUCCCUUCCUGCCGAGCGCUGCCUUUCUCAGGGAAUUCCUCUGAUCACCUCCAAGCCUACGCCAGAUCUUUCCUGAAAGCGCCCCCGCCCCGCCCCCCGCAUUUGUUUUUCGAGGUCAACGGUCAAGUAUCCCCACAGUAUAACCUCUCUUUCCACGAUUAUAAUUUUGUGAUUAUUACUGAUUCCUUCACUAGACGGUGAGUUCUGUGAAGCAAGGAACACACGUGGCAUACCCUUCCCGGAACCGCGCCUGGCACAGUAAAACCUCACAGCUUGCCCUCGGAACUGCGGCUAUUCAGAAAGAAAAUGUUUUUACUUUUUUCAAGGAGCCCUAUGCCGGGGAGCCCAGUAAAUGAUAAAAGGGAGUAAAAAAAGAAAAAGAAAUCCCAGAUGGUUCGGCGACUUUCCUCCAGCAUUCCUCCUUGGGCGGCCUCGGAAAGCAAGGGUAUACAGGUGUCUGCGCUGUCUCACCUGCCAGGCGCUGAGCCAGGGGCCGAGGGGCGGGGCUACGCGCUCCGAACGGACCAAUCAGGUGCGCUUGCGAUGGCCACGCCCACCCACGCGCCGCGGCGCGCCCGGGUAGGAGCCGGGCGUAAGCAACGUCCAGCGUGCGUGUGUCCCCGUACGUGCGCCAUGAUGGCCGGACGGAAGACGUAGGGGCCGAAAGGACGGGGGCCCGGCCUAGCCAGGGCUCUAAGACAACUUUACACCCCGGCCGCACUGCGGCCGCACGGCAGCGUCUGCAGUCCGCCGGGAGGUGGGCGGCACUGGCCUUUCAAAAGGACGACGACACGGCCGAGCGCUAGGCCGCAGGCCCGCCCCUACGACCCCGUGUUCCCGCCGCAGGUUCCCUCACUCGCGCAGCGCCCCUGGCCUUUGGGUUUACCUGUGCCGAGCCGCCGAUUGAUGAGGUUUGGCGGCAGCAGCCCGCAAGCGGGCUCCCCGGUGAGACCCUCUUCGCCUUCCGUAGUGGGCGGGGCCUCGCCGGCUUUAAAGGGAAGGCGACGGUAGGAGGAGAGCGUUUCCGGCUGGCGGCUUCAAGUCCUCCGACAGAAAAGGGCGCGCAUUGGCCGCUCCCCUGGCUCCAGCCACCGCAGGUGGUGCGGCGAUCGGAGGCCCGCUUCCCCUCGAUCCCUUACGUUGGCGCCGACCUCAGUGUAGCUGCGUGCCCAGUGGGCUUACAGCUUGCAUACGUCUUUCUUAUUUAAUAAAAUACUACUUUGAUAGGAUGGUUAAUCAGUUCAGUCCAUUCAUGGGGUCGCAAAGAGUCGGACGUGACUGAGUGACUGAAUUGAACUAAACUGAGGUUGGUCAUAGCGUUGUUUCUUCCAAGGAGCGAGCGUCUUUUAAUUUCAUGGCUGCAGUCAGUGACAGUGACAGGAUGAUAACAAGCUAUUUCGUAAACAACUUUAUACUUACUGUGAUGGGAGCCAUGCCUUAAAGUUCAGGUGGACAGGCAGACUUGGGAAGUAGAGGCUCCCCUUGGUUCCCAGGUUAGGGGCGCUAGCCACCUGCAAGAGCACUGGGCCGGGUGGGGAAGGCCCACAUGGCCCGCCACCCAGGAGAGCUCAGAGUGGUCAGCGUGUAACCAAGGGGACACGCGCAUGGCAGGUGCAUGGCAUGUGCUGGCUCCAGGGAUCAUGUACCUGGUCUCUUCCCUCACUGGCUUUGGGGUCCACAAACCUGCAGCCCGCCUGGCCAGGCCUGCCCCUUUGGCCUCUUCUCCAUAGGAAAGUCCUCAGUGGC
ensembl:lncRNA